rfam:Triticum aestivum genome assembly, contig: Triticum_aestivum_CS42_TGACv1_scaffold_396176_5AS
CUUGUACUCCCUACGUUCAAAAAUACUUGUCAUUGAAAUGGAUGUAUCUAGAUGUAUUUUAGUUCUAGACACAUCCAUUUUGAUGACAAGUAAUUCCGAACGGAGGGAGUACUUG